CACGUAGGCGGUUGGGAAAGCCUCUUGGGAAAUCUCUCGGCUUAACCGGGAAAGGUCGAGAGGAACUAUUCAGCUAGAGGACGGGAGAGGAGCGCGGAAUUCCCGGUGUAGCGGUGAAAUGCGUAGAUAUCGGGAAGAAGGCCGGUGGCGAAGGCGGCGCUCUGGAACGUACCUGACGCUGAGGUGCGAAAGCGUGGGGAGCAAACA
rnacentral:rRNA from 1 species